ACGCUCGACACCUACGGGAGCAGCAGUGGGGAAUAUUGCACAAUGGGGGAAACCCUGAUGCAGCGACGCCGCGUGAGCGAAGAAGUAUUUCGGUAUGUAAAGCUCUAUCAGCAGGGAAGAAACUGACGGUACCUGACUAAGAAGCACCGGCUAAAUACGUGCCAGCAGCCGNGGUAACGUACUGAGGCGGGCGUGGCGAACGGACG
rnacentral:rRNA from 1 species